AGUGAACGCUGGCGGUAGGCCUAACACAUGCAAGUCGAACGGCAGCACAGUAAGAGCUUGCUCUUACGGGUGGCGAGUGGCGGACGGGUGAGGAAUACAUCGGAAUCUACUUUUUCGUGGGGGAUAACGUAGGGAAACUUACGCUAAUACCGCAUACGACCUACGGGUGAAAGCAGGGGAUCUUCGGACCUUGCGCGAUUGAAUGAGCCGAUGUCGGAUUAGCUAGUGGGCGGGGUAAAGGCCCACCAAGGCGACGAUCCGUAGCUGGUCUGAGAGGAUGAUCGGCCACACUGGAACUGAGACACGGUCCAGACUCCUACGGGAGGCAGCAGUGGGGAAUAUUGGACAAUGGGCGCAAGCCUGAUCCAGCCAUACCGCGUGGGUGAAGAAGGCCUUCGGGUUGUAAAGCCCUUUUGUUGGGAAAGAAAAGCAGCAGGUUAAUACCCCGCUGUUCUGACGGUACCCAAAGAAUAAGCACCGGCUAACUUCGUG
rnacentral:rRNA from 1 species